rnacentral:rRNA from 1 species
GACGAACGCUGGCGGCGUGCUUAACACAUGCAAGUCGAACGGAAAGGCCCUGCUUUUGUGGGGUGCUCGAGUGGCGAACGGGUGAGUAACACGUGAGUAACCUGCCCUUGACUUUGGGAUAACUUCAGGAAACUGGGGCUAAUACCGGAUAGGAGCUCCUGCUGCAUGGUGGGGGUUGGAAAGUUUCGGCGGUUGGGGAUGGACUCGCGGCUUAUCAGCUUGUUGGUGGGGUAGUGGCUUACCAAGGCUUUGACGGGUAGCCGGCCUGAGAGGGUGACCGGCCACAUUGGGACUGAGAUACGGCCCAGACUCCUACGGGAGGCAGCAGUGGGGAAUAUUGCACAAUGGGCGGAAGCCUGAUGCAGCAACGCCGCGUGCGGGAUGACGGCCUUCGGGUUGUAAACCGCUUUCGCCUGUGACGAAGCGUGAGUGACGGUAAUGGGUAAAGAAGCACCGGCUAACUACGUGCCAGCAGCCGCGGUGAUACGUAGGGUGCGAGCGUUGUCCGGAUUUAUUGGGCGUAAAGGGCUCGUAGGUGGUUGAUCGCGUCGGAAGUGUAAUCUUGGGGCUUAACCCUGAGCGUGCUUUCGAUACGGGUUGACUUGAGGAAGGUAGGGGAGAAUGGAAUUCCUGGUGGAGCGGUGGAAUGCGCAGAUAUCAGGAGGAACACCAGUGGCGAAGGCGGUUCUCUGGGCCUUUCCUGACGCUGAAGAGCGAAAGCGUGGGGAGCGAACAGGCUUAGAUACCCUGGUAGUCCACGCUGUAAACGGUGGGUACUAGGUGUGGGGUCCAUUCCACGGGUUCCGUGCCGUAGCUAACGCUUUAAGUACCCCGCCUGGGGAGUACGGCCGCAAGGCUAAAACUCAAAGGAAUUGACGGGGCCCCGCACAAGCGGCGGAGCAUGCGGAUUAAUUCGAUGCAACGCGUAGAACCUUACCUGGGUUUGACAUGGAUCGGGAGCGCUCAGAGAUGGGUGUGCCUCUUUUGGGGUCGGUUCACAGGUGGUGCAUGGCUGUCGUCAGCUCGUGUCGUGAGAUGUUGGGUUAAGUCCCGCAACGAGCGCAACCCUUGUUCACUGUUGCCAGCACGUUAUGGUGGGGACUCAGUGGAGACCGCCGGGGUCAACUCGGAGGAAGGUGGGGAUGACGUCAAGUCAUCAUGCCCCUUAUGUCCAGGGCUUCACGCAUGCUACAAUGGCUGGUACAGAGAGUGGCGAGCCUGUGAGGGUGAGCGAAUCUCGGAAAGCCGGUCUCAGUUCGGAUUGGGGUCUGCAACUCGACCUCAUGAAGUCGGAGUCGCUAGUAAUCGCAGAUCAGCAACGCUGCGGUGAAUACGUUCCCGGG